GACGUAGGGCGCAAGCGUUGUCCGGAUUUAUUGGGCGUAAAGAGCUCGUAGGCGGCUUGUCGCGUCGACUGUGAAAACCCGUGGCUCAACCAUGUGGUCUGCAGUCGAUACGGGCAGGCUAGAAUUCGGUAGGGGAGACUGGAAUUCCUGGUGUAGCGGUGAAAUGCGUAGAUAUCAGGAGGAACACCUGUGGUGUAGACAGCUUACUGGACCACGACUGACGCUGAGGCACGAAAGCAUGGGGAGCAAACAGG
rnacentral:rRNA from 1 species